rfam:Fusobacterium mortiferum ATCC 9817 genomic scaffold supercont2.7, whole genome shotgun sequence.
CUUGGUGAGAAGAGCUACGGGGGUACACCCAGAAACAUUCCGAACUUGGAAGUUAAGCCCGUAAACGCUGAAAGUACUUGGAGGGAAGCCUCCUGGGAGGAUAGGAACUUGCCAAGC